GACGAACGCUGGCGGCGUGCUUAACACAUGCAAGUCGAACGGGCCCGCUCUCUUUUUUGGGGGUGGGUUGAGUGGCGAACGGGUGAGUAUCACGUGAGUAACCUGCCCCCUGCUCCUGGAUAACUGCUUGAAAGGGCGGCUAAUACGGGGUGUGCCGGCUGGUCCGCAUGGGCCUGGUCGGGAUAGUUUCAUCUUCGGGUGUUUCGGUGGGGGAUGGGCUCGCGGCCUAUCAGCUUGUUGGUGGGGUGAUGGCCCACCAAGGCGGUGACGGGUAGCCGGCCUGAGAGGGUGGGCGGCCACACUGGGACUGAGACACGGCCCAGACUCCUGCGGGAGGCAGCAGUGGGGGGUAUUGUACAAUGGGCGGAAGCCUGAUGCAGCGACGUCGCGUGAGGGAUGGAGGCCUUCGGGUUGUGAACCUCUUUCUCCGGUGGUGAAGGCCCUGUCCGUUGCGGCGGGGUUGACGGUAGCCGGGUAUGAAGCGCCGGCUAACUACGUG
rnacentral:rRNA from 1 species